CCUACGGGAGGCAGCAGUGGGGAAUAUUGGGCAAUGGAGGAAACUCUGACCCAGCAACGCCGCGUGAAUGAUGAAGGUCUUCGGAUUGUAAAGUUCUUUUCUAAGGGAAGUAGAAAGUGACGGUACCUCAGUAAUAAGCCUCGGCUAACUACGUGCCAGCAGCCGCGGUAAUACGUAGGAGGCAAGCGUUAUCCGGAAGUACUGGGCGUAAAGGGUGCGUAGGUGGGUUGAUAAGUUGGUAGCGUAACUCCGAGGCUCAACCUCGGCACUACCACCAAUACUGGCGGACGUGAGUGCAGGAGGGGCAACUGGAAUUCCUGGUGUAGCGGUGGAAUGCGUAGAUAUCAGGAGGAACACCAGUGGCGAAGGCGAGUUGCUGGACUGUAACUGACACUGAGGCACGAAAGCGUGGGUAGCAAACAGGAUUAGAUACCCCAGUAGUC
rnacentral:rRNA from 1 species